AUAAUAUAAUUGCUUUCUCUCAUUCUCAACACUAGGAAAGAAAGAAAGAAAGAAAGAAGAAGAAGAAAAAGAAGACAAAGGCUUUCCCAUUGAUAUCCUCAUCAAUCAGAUCCCAUCCCAUCCUAUCAUGACCUGCACAUGAGAGAGAGAAAGAUCACGCAAAAUAUAGUAAAUGAGGUGCAAGAAGCAUCCCUCCGAUCUUACCAGCACUGUAGGUGUCUGCGCCUCAUGUCUCUCCGAACGCCUUCUUUCACUCAUGGCCGCUCAGGCUCAAGCUGACGCUCAAUUAGCUCGCGCUAACUCACGCUCCGCCAUUAUUGACAGCC
rnacentral:lncRNA from 1 species